AUUGAACGCUGGCGGCAGGCCUAACACAUGCAAGUCGAGCGGAUGAAGGGAGCUUGCUCCUGGAUUCAGCGGCGGACGGGUGAGUAAUGCCUAGGAAUCUGCCUGGUAGUGGGGGAUAACGUCCGGAAACGGGCGCUAAUACCGCAUACGUCCUGAGGGAGAAAGUGGGGGAUCUUCGGACCUCACGCUAUCAGAUGAGCCUAGGUCGGAUUAGCUAGUUGGUGGGGUAAAGGCCUACCAAGGCGACGAUCCGUAACUGGUCUGAGAGGAUGAUCAGUCACACUGGAACUGAGACACGGUCCAGACUCCUACGGGAGGCAGCAGUGGGGAAUAUUGGACAAUGGGCGAAAGCCUGAUCCAGCCAGGCCGCGUGUGUGAAGAAGGUCUUCGGAUUGUAAAGCACUUUAAGUUGGGAGGAAGGGCAGUAAGUUAAUACCUUGCUGUUUUGACGUUACCAACAGAAUAAGCACCGGCUAACUUCGU
rnacentral:rRNA from 1 species